CUUUAAGUACCUUUUAUUACUUUAAAUGAUGAUGGAGAGUAAUCUGAGCUAAAAUAGAGCCGUUAGAGUAUAUUAAAUGGGCAUUAAAUAUAGCCAGAACGAGUAAAAAAUUAGUCAUUGCGAAGUUUUUCCGUCGCAGGAGUCGACUCAUAGGAUCGACUCAUGCACAGAGAUCGACUCAUGGGAUCGACUCAUGCACAGGGAUCGACUCAUAGGGUCAGC
rnacentral:lncRNA from 1 species